rnacentral:misc_RNA from 1 species
AAAAAGACCAAAAAGUAAGUUGUUUGCUAAUUUAGCCACAAAGUUGAAAUUGGGCCACAUUAGACAUUGACAAUAAAUUCAUAGGCUAAUUUGAACAUUACGCUGAUCUAUUUAAUAAAUUGAAUAAAAUGCUUUCCAACAAGUAAAUUAAAAUCAUAAAGAACAUAAGUUAAAAUUAAGAACAAGAGAACUUCAUCAAUUCAACAUUAAAAUUAAUCAAAAUGAGUAACUUAUCAAACAUAGUGGUGAGUAUCCACAAUACACAUAUAACUUUUUGUUUGAUGCAUUAGCCCUUCAUCACCUGCGCCAACAUUACCUGCUCAGCAUCCAAGAUUAUGACUUCUAAUCUAUUCAUAAGUAACAAGCAACUAGAUCUCUAUUUGUAUGUCUAUUUGAAGCUAAAUAUCAGGCCUUCAACCGGACGCAUCUGAUUCUCAAUGCUUGAAAAUCUAUUGAUAAAUUAUCUUAUAUCCAUCAAAUCCUCCUAAACCUUGAACACCAUUAAUUGAAAAGGUCAUUCACUUAGAUUUCAAAGGUAGACCUAAGCAUUUCAUUUUCUUCCAUGCACAAAGCUAGGUACUCAAAUGGAAAUUAGAAGACAAAAUACUUAAAAAUCAAGUGAACA